rnacentral:misc_RNA from 1 species
CUCUCAUUACUGCUUUGAUAAGACCAAACAGUGGACCCCAAGAAAACCUGCUACAUGUAUUUAUGAUGUGUUUCAUUAUCGUUUUGAUUGAUUUUUUUUUUUUUUUCCCUUUCUUUUUUAAAUCUCCUCUCUGGAUGAAUACAGGGGGGGACGUGUAUGAUAUGUGGACAGCUCAACUUCAAGAGAGGCUGCGUAACAGGAUAUCAUCUCGCUGCUUCUUCGUAGAGUUUAUGGAUCAU